rnacentral:tRNA from 2 species
UCCUCCAUAGCUCAAUUGGCAGAGCAAUCGGCUGUUAACCGGUAGGUUCUUGGUUCGAGUCCAAGUGGGGGAGCGA